UCCAAAGAACAACUUGGUGAGGAUCUGUCA
rnacentral:piRNA from 1 species